AGAGUUUGAUCCUGGCUCAGAACGAACGCUGGCGGNNUGCCUAACACAUGCAAGUCGAANGGACAUCUUCGGAUGUUAGUGGCGCACGGGUGCGUAACGNGUGGGAAUCUGCCCUUAGGUUCGGAAUAACUCAGGGAAACUUGAGCUAAUACCGGAUGAUGUCUUCGGACCAAAGAUUUAUCGCCUAGGGAUGAGCCCGCGUAAGAUUAGCUAGUUGGUGGGGUAAUGGCCUACCAAGGCGACGAUCAGUAGCUGGUCUGAGAGGAUGAUCAGCCACAUUGGGACUGAGACACGGCCCAAACUCCUACGGGAGGCAGCAGUGGGGAAUAUUGGACAAUGGGCGCAAGCCUGAUCCAGCCAUGCCGCGUGAGUGAUGAAGGCCUUAGGGUUGUAAAGCUCUUUCGGCGGGGACGAUAAUGACGGUACCCGCAGAAGAAGCCCCGGCUAACUUCGUGCCAGCAGCCGCGGUAAUACGAAGGGGGCUAGCGUUGUUCGGAAUCACUGGGCGUAAAGGGCGCGUAGGCGGCCUGAUAAGUCGGGGGUGAAAGCCUGUGGCUCAACCACAGAAUUGCCUUCGAUACUGUCGGGCUUGAGACCGGAAGAGGUCAGUGGAACUGCGAGUGUAGAGGUGAAAUUCGUAGAUAUUCGCAAGAACACCAGUGGCGAAGGCGGCUGACUGGUCCGGUUCUGACGCUGAGGCGCGAAAGCGUGGGGAGCAAACAGGAUUAGAUACCCCCGUAGUCC
rnacentral:rRNA from 2 species